GACGAACGCUGGCGGCGCGCUUAACACAUGCAAGUCGAACGGAAAGGCCUGCUUUCCCUUGUGGAUUGCGGGUACUCGAGUGGCGAACGGGUGAGUAACACGUGAGUGAUCUGCCCCCAACUUGGGUAUAAGCCUGGGAAACUGGGUCUAAUUCCCGAUAGGACUGCAGGGUGGUGCCUGUGGUGGAAAACGAUUUUCUAGUGGUUGGGGAUGAGCUCGCGGCCUAUCAGCUUGUUGGUGGGGUAAUGGCCUACCAAGGCGGCGACGGGUAGCCGGCCUGGGAGGGUGAACGGCCACAUUGGGACUGAGAUACGGCCCAGACUCCUACGGGAGGCAGCAGUGGGGAAUAUUGCACAAUGGGCGGAAGGCUGAUGCAGCGACGCCGCGUGGGGGAUGACGGCCUUCGGGUUGUAAACUCCUUUCGACCGCGAGGAAGCCACCUGGUUGGAAGGGUGGUGACGGUAGUGGUAGAAGAAGCACCGGCUAACUACGUG
rnacentral:rRNA from 1 species